AGCGUUUGACAUGUCCGGACGACUUCGAGAGAUCGAUUUCUUCCCUUCGGGGACUGGAACACAGGUGCUGCAUGGCUGUCGUCAGCUCGUGUCGUGAGAUGUUGGGUUAAGUCCCGCAACGAGCGCAACCCUCGCCUUUAGUUACCAUCAUUUAGUUGGGUACUCUAAAGGAACCGCCGGUGAUAAGCCGGAGGAAGGUGGGGAUGACGUCAAGUCCUCAUGGCCCUUACGCGCUGGGCUACACACGUG
rnacentral:rRNA from 1 species